AUGGUGACCCUGUGGGCAAUAUGGUGGGCACGGCGUAGGGCUAUCCAUGAGGGAGACUUGCAAAUCCCACAUGCGACUCAUUCCUUUGUCAAGAGAUUUAUCGCGGAACUGGCAACCAUCAGGGCUGGGACGCCGACACCAAAUGGUGAACAACAAACAAGUGCGAGACCGGCUGCUGGGCAAGGAUGGAGGGCGCCUGAAGUUGGAAUUGUUAAAAUUCAAGUAGAUGGGGGAGUCUCAAGAAACGGGAGAAGAGGGGCAGCUGCUACCAUCGGAAGGAACCAUGAGGGACUUUUUCUCGGAUCUUCAUCAAUGGUCUAUGAUGAAAUAAAUGAUCCUCCAAUGUUGGAGGCUUUGGCUUGCCGAGAAGCUCUAGCUCUAGCUCAGGAUCUUUAUGCACACCGUAUCGUUGUUGCGUGUGACUGCAAGACAGUUGUGGAGGAAAUCAAAAUGGGGUCAGAAGGAAGAUACAACAACAUCAUCAAGGAGAUCCAAGCCCAAUCAAGACUUUUUGAUCGAUGUGACUUCAUCUUUGAAGGUCGAAAAGGAAAUAUUGAUGCUCACAAUUUAGCAAAGUUUUCUACUUCUUUAGUCCAAGGGCGCCACGUGUGGCUGGAGGUACCCCAUGAUCCCUUUGUUAUCCCUGUAAACCGAAACAAUAAUCAAUAUAGUCUGGUUUACCACUCAAAAAAAAAGUCAGUUGCAAUAUUGUUAAAGAAAAAAAAUGGCUUUCCAUUGUUUUUUACGUUUUCUUAUUUUACAUGGGUUUUCUUUGUUUCUUACUCUAUUUUAUUGUUUCAUUAUUUUCUUUUUUUCCUUUUUUUGUUUCUUUUUUCGCUUCUCACUAGUUUUAUUCAUUUUCUUCCCUUUUUCCUUUAUUUCUUCUUCGGUUUUGUUUAUUUAUUUCUUCUUGUUUUUCGUUGUUAUUUUUGUGUGUUUUCUCUUAGGUUUUGUUUUUCAUGCACAUUUUUGGUAUAUCUCUAA
rnacentral:rRNA from 1 species